GAGGUUGUGACUCAGUGGCAGAGUGCUCACCUAGCACAUGUGAGGCACUGGGUUCAAACCUCAGCACCACA
rnacentral:tRNA from 1 species